AUGACUGACCACUAGGAAAUGAGGCUGCAGAGGCCUUGGGGCCCAGCACAUGCCCACACCCUCUACGUCCUCAGAACUGGAGCCCUUGCCUGCACCUCUGGCUUCCCCGAACUAGGACCAGAGACCUUGACCCCAGGGAGAUCUGGACCAGAAAACCUAGCUCUGCCGACUGCCCAGAGAGGGCCAAGAUUCUCGGUGCAUAUGUAUAAGAGUUCACGCCUGUACACAUGUGUGUUGGUGUAUGUGUCAGUGUGCGUGUGAGCGUGUGGGGUGCAGGAGGGGGUCACUGACACCAGCAAGGGUGUUGUUUCCUCAGUGGUUUCCCCAUGGCUUCCCCCUCUUGUCUUUCGCUUUUUCACUUACUGAAUUGUCUCCAGGGCGUUGGCACAGCUGGCCAGAGCCUUGGACUGCCCUCCUCAUCCUUCCCAGAGCACAAGGCCACUGCCCAUGACUGAACCACAGGGAUGCUGUGGACGUCCAGGGGUCCUGUCCUUUCCUUUCCCUUACUUUGUAAGAGCGUCCCAGCCUCCUGUCCCCUACACUUAGGCCAAACUGUUCCAUGGUGGUGACUCUACCCUGACUCAAGGGGUGGACACAUGUCGCAGGCUGGCUAUUCACUUUACGCUAGCUUGGCAAUGUGACGGGCUUACAGAUGGGCACCUGACCCAAGCCAAGCCAAUGAGAUGCCUCUCUGGUUAUCAUAGGAGGGCAGAAGCUUUUUCUUGUCCAGGAAGGGUUAAAGGAUGUGAGGUUAAGCUGAUGAGUCACUUGCCUAGGGCUGCUGAGGGAAGGAAGGGACAGCCUGUCUGGGAAUGCGCCAAGGGCCAGAGUCCCGAGGAGGAGGGUGGGACAUUGAGGUUUCAUGAUACUGUCUAGCCCUUGGUCCCUCUAAGCCUGAUGAGCUAUCCCAGGGCUUUCAAGGAUUUAUGUUUGUGUUUCCAUCACUAAAAAGGCCUGGCAAAGACAGGGAAGACGGACAGAAAAGGUGGUGUGCAGAAAGCACUUGGGAAGGCCAUGGUGAGCCUGGCAGCUGUUUCUGCAGAAUGAGGAGACCAUGUGAUGGACCUUCCCCACUGUACCCGGCCCACCUCAGAACACAGCUGGGAGCCUUAAACACUGCAGCCUUGCAGUCCUAGGCUCCCACCAUCCUCCUGAUUAGCUAGGCCCACAGGCAUGUGCCACGUGUUCUGCUAACACCAUACCUGGCUAAUUAAAAAAAGAAUUUGCAGAGAUAGGGUCUCCCUAUGUUGUGCAGGGUAGUCUGUGAACUGCUAACUUCAGAUGAUCCUCCUGCCUCGACUUCCAAAAGCGUUGAAAUUACAGGCAUGAGCCACUGCACCUGGACAGGGUGAGGCAUUUCAGGGGGAGCCAUGGAGGCUGUGGUUGAGGUGAGACUCUGGAUCGACCCUAAAAGGUAGCUGUUCAGGUUUGUGAAGCAACGUGUAAACAAGCCACGGGUUGAGCUAUGCCCGAAGCAAUCCAAGGACAGGAGAGACAGGCUGGGCUCUGCAGGGAGGAGGGACAGCAAGAGCAAAGACAUGGUGUGAGAACAGAGUGUUUCUGGGAGACCAUCACUGCUUGAAUUCAAAUGUCACGGUGUGAUGUGCAGCAGUGAAGCCAUGCAUCGGGCCAGUUGGCGGAGGCUCUCGAUGGCAGGGUUUCAUACGAUGUGACAGGCACUAGGGUCUAUUUUCCGAAGGCAGAAGGAGAGGAAGACAAUCCACAGGGUUGUCCAAGAAUAGUUAAAGGAUGAGGAGACCCAGGUAGAGUGUUAGGUCAGAAGCUGAUGAGUCACUUGCCUAGGGAGAGAGGCUGAGAAGGGUCUCCAGGAGAACGGGGCCUGGGUGGGGCAGGGAGCAGCCCCAGAUACUGCCAAGGCUCUGAGCAAAAGCUGGCUGAAGAAUGCAAGCCUGCCUCAGCAGCUUAACUCUCUCACUUCAAGCCUGCUCAUACACUUGCAAAGAAAUCAGAAUUUCGGGGACCCAAACAAAGCUGGCCUGAGCCUGGGCUCUGCCUGGCAUUGGGAUGCCCAGAGCACUGGCCUGUCCCCAGAUCUGUAGAGGUCCCCGUCUCUUGGAGAGACAGCUUCCCAGAGGCCACCUCUUUGAGGUUUAUUUUUAAAGAUGUUUGAUGUUCUAUACUUUGGAGGAAGUAAGACAGAACCGCCAGGAGAGGAACUCACAAGUUCUGAAUAUCCAUUUUCUGUUCCUCAAAACCAGUUAGUUCCCUCCCAACCAUCCUGACCGUGGCCUGACCAAGGUCCCCAGCUCAAUGGGGCAGGAGGGAAGGCAGAGACACUUCCAAGUGGGAAGGCAGAGAGCAUGGGGGGAAUGGGGGCAGAGGCUCCACCUGCCUUUCAGGGGGACAGAGGGUAAGUAGCUGGUGCCCAAAGGAACACAUGUCCCAUUGCUGCAGUUGAGCAUGCCAGUGAGAGAGGGCAGAGGCCAGCACACAGCUGCCAGAGGGCUGCAGCCCCCUCCCUGCCUGGUCUCACAGUGAGAGCCAGGCCUUUCUCCAUCACAACCUCCCAUUAUGGCAGCUCUUGGCAGGGUCAGCCAGCACAGGGACAGACAACUGCAGUAACAGCAGCAGGAAAGAAGCAGUAAAACUUGUUUGCCAACUCUAUCAACACACGUGGCACACCACAAGGAUAUACAGGAGAUGUGUACAGCACACACACACAAACACACAGCAGAGGCCACGCCCUCUGCAGAACAUGGGCAGUGCUACUCAGAAUGAGCAUGAGUGCAGUGGAGUUGGCACAGCUGGGAUAAGUUUACCCCAGAGCAUCACCCAACCCCUGGAGCACACACCCACUCCCAAUAACUCCACUUUGUAUGAAUGUAAUUCUCUAAUAAGCCACACAUCCCCAGGCCUCAGGAGUAUGAGCUGGGGACCUUAAGUGGUAUGCCCCUCAAGGAAGCUGACUGGAGCCACUUGCACUCAGUCGGGGGCCUUGGUCUGGGUGGUGCCCCGCACAGGGACCAUCACAGGUGCAGAACCAGCAGACUGUCCCUUAGUUGUCUAUUGAGGACAUCAUCCGGCUGGGAGGAGGACAUGCCCAGGAGGCAGCUGGGGAAAUAGGGACCAGGCUCCUGGUGCCUCGACUCUGCCCCAGCCCUGAGACUUUCCCCCUUUGCGGUCCUGAGUUUUCUUUCCAUCCAACGGGAAACACUUGACAACUUCACAGUCCCCAAAUUUAACCAACCGGGGAAAAACUUCUACCCUACCAUAAAGAUCCUGGUACUCUAUACCUCCCAAAUCCCUAAGGGGAAAAAUGGAAUUAAAAACCUCAUCAAUAGAACAUCAGUAGGUUGGGCUUGUUGGCUCAUGCCUGUAAUCCCAGCACUUUGAGAGGCCGAGGCAGGUAGAUAACCUGAGGUCAGGAGUUCAAGACUCUGUCUCAAAAACAACAAAAAACAGAGCAUCAGUAGAACAAAAAGAAAAGCAAGAAACAGUUGGGAAGUGUGGUAAGGAGUGCAGUAUUAAAUGGCAGGUUUGACACAGCCUAAAUAUCAAUAAUCUCAAUGGAAGUGAAUGGGGGUCUGCUGAGGGGACUCACACCUGUAAUCCCAGCACUUUGGGAGGCUGAGGUGGGAGGAUUGCUUGAGCUCAGGAGUUUGAGACCAGUCUGGGCAACAUGGCAAAAACCCAUCUCUAUAAAAAAAAAGAAAAAAUUGGCCGGGCGUGGUGGCUCACACCUGUAAUCCUAGCACUUUUGGAGGCCAAGGUGGGCAAAUCACCUGAGGUCAGGAGUUCGAGACCAGCUUGGCCAACAGGCAAAACCCCGUCUCUACUAAAAAUGCAAAAAUUAGCCAGGCAUGGUGGUGCAUGCCUGCAAUCUCAACUACUCAGGAGGCUGAGGCAGGAGAAUUGUUUGAACCUGGGAGAUGGAGGUUGCAGUGAGCCGAGAUCAGGUCACUGCACUCCAGCCUGGGUGACAGAGUGAGACUCCAUCUCAAAAAAUAAAUAAAUAAAUAUUAGGAGGCUGAGGCGAGUGGAUCACGAGGUCAAGAGAUCGAGCCCAUCCUGGCCAACAUGGUGAGACCCUAUCUCUACUAACAACAAAAAUUAGCCAGGCAUGGUGACAUGCUCCUGUGGUCCCAAUUGCUUGGGAAGCUGAGGCAGGAGAAUCGCUUGAACCCGGGAGGUGGAGUUUGCAGUGAGCUGAGAUCAUGCCACUGCACUCCAGCCUGGCGACAG